rnacentral:lncRNA from 1 species
AGGAAAAAGAACAAUUUAUUUGAAUUGUAUUAAAAAUGAGUAUGAGUAUCUCACUUCUGCAUUUAAGAAAGCAGGUGAAAAUGGGCUUGCAUUUCCUAUUUCCCAUUGUUAUCUAAGAUGCUCAAGUGUUUCUUUUAAACUUGACCAAGACUCCAUAACCUAUUAAAAUAGAUUAUAAUUCAGAGUAGGUUUUAAUGCAAGCAUGUUAUCUGAAAGUGUGUGUGUGUGUUUGUGAAGGUGCCCUCUUGUUUUUCAUAGUAAGAUAAAUUUUACUUUCAAAAUAAGGUUAUGUGAAAUGAGACUUUCUGUUGCUUGUUGAUAGUUCUGCUGUAUAAUAAAAUAGCUGUUAGCACUGAAAAUAAAGGUUGGUAAAAUGAAAGUUGGCUUGAAAUUAAAAAAAAUCCGCUUCCUAAUUUCAUGUAGUGAUCAGCAAUGCUGGCAGAGCAGGUGAGAGAGAGGAGGAGAAAAAAAAAAAAGUGUUGACUCUGGAAUCCAGGCUGAAUUUUACUUAGUUUUUUUCACUUGAAGAGAAAGUUUGGUGUUGAAAAAUACCAUUUCUGGUAGAAAAAUUAGUAGUGUUAAUCAGAAGACUGUUGUUGUUCUUCAUAAGCUUUAUUACUCAAACCAAUUGUAUCAAAAUGCGGAACAUAAUUUGUCCAUUUUUACUUUAAUAGCAAUAUUCUGACUAUAGCAAAUGGGCAGGUUUUAGCAUUGGAAUUUGUUGCUGUCUGGAUAAAUGCUGAAAUUGAACUAACAUGCACAAUAGCUUUGAAACUUCUUAGUUGCAUGCUGUACUUCAGUGUUAUGUAUUUUAAGAAAAUGUUAGCAGAUAUUUUCAUUUAAAGGUUUGCACUUCUAAAAAUGAACUUGGUUGAAACAGUACAGUAAUUGUGGUUCUAGAAUUUAGAUGGAAAAUUGUUUCCUGUUCGUAAGAGCUUUGUUAUACUACCUUGUAAAAACUGUGGGGUAGGGUAGGGGAAAAUGAUCCCCAAAGCUUUUCUGUCUCAUGCAGUCUGAGGAGCAGCAGGAAAAUGCAAACUAAAUGGAGUUAGACAUGAUUGCACUUCAAUUAAUCCAACUGCUAAUCAAUUAAGUCAUUUGACAUAUAAAGUGCAUGUUGAGUGGAAGAGGAGGAGGUGAGGUAGAGAGGAGACAGAUGGACUCUUGCAUAGCAUAGCAGAGGAGAGGAGAGUUGCCGGCCUCUGUAACCAGGAGGGAUCAGCAGGAGUACUGAACUUAGCAAGAAGAAACUUAAUUGGCCUAAGUUCUUAACUCUUAAAUUGUGUAACGCUUUUCUUUAUUUAAAAGAUGAUUACUGUAUAUUUAUAUACGUUAAUAGUUUAAGCUUGCUUUGGGAAAAAAAUUUAAACUUAGAACAAUAAAACCAAAA